CCUCACUUUUUUCCAUUCCCCCCAUUAAUUUCAUAAAAAAUUUUUUUUUACCAAAAAUAAAAAGAAGAAAAGAAUAGCAGCAGCACGUCUCCGCAGUCCUCUACUUAGCCCUAAAAUAUUAGAAUCGACUGGUUCAUCUUCUCCAAAAACAAUUGCAGCAGCAUGUCUCUUUAGGAAAAAUAAUUUCUUCGCAUCAGACACAAAGUUCACAAAAUACGUAGAAUAGAACAAAAUUUAAAGUCUCGCAUGCCGGUGGUAGCAAAAGUAAUGCAAGAGAGGUCGUCAAAUUGAGCAAAAAUUGGGAAUGCCUAUGUGCCGAAGUGAAGUUCUAUUGUCAACUUUACAGAAAAAGAAUGGUAAUUAUGUGAAUGAAGAAGGAAAGAUUUUAGAUGAUAAAAUAUCGGAGCAUCUACUUGAAGAUCAAGAACAAGGUGCUACAUUAGGUGUUCCGUUGAAGAUAUUGGUUCAUCCAAUGAUGCCAUUGGAAAAGUGUAUGGAGUUGAACAUUCUGGUCGUGUGCGUGGUAUAGGUGGUAAUAUUUGUUUUUCUGUUGUUUUUGGGAUGCCUAGACAUUCAAUUAGACAUGAAAAUGUCGAUAGUCUCGGUAAUACGCCUCAUCAACGUGUUGAAGAGCUACAGAAACAUGUGAAAACUUUGGAAGAGAAACUGACUGGAUAUGAAGAGACUAAGAAAAAGCUUGAGGAAUCCAAGAAACGACUUGCAAAAAAAGAGAAUCACUUGGAAACUCUUCAUAGAUUUUUACAAGUCGAAUUUGGUAAUGAAUUGCCUAGUUUCAAUAUAGAUUCUCCUUAGUUUAUAUUGUUGCUUCAACCUUUUGCAUUUUGAUUACACCAGCAGUACUUUUGCUAUCUUUAUUAAUGAAACUCACAUUUGUUUUGAUAUUUAUGAUGAAUAGAUAUUAAAGUAAUUUUUGUGUAUU